rnacentral:lncRNA from 1 species
AUCCUGCAGUCAAACAUUUACAAAACAAAUUCUGCCAUAGAAUGUCGUCAAAACAGGAGUAGCUGCUCGAUGGGAAAGUUAGAAACGAUUUAUAAAGUAAUAAGAAGGAGAUCAAAAACACUAAUUGUGAAGGUGACCCAAAAUUCAGUUCAGAUAUGAAAUUAUAGAAGCAUAUUUUAUUUUUGCACACGUCAGUGUGAUUGUUGGGGUGAUUUUAAAACAGUAAAAGCUUGUUUACUUUGCCAGAUUUAUUCUAUUGAUUUUACUCCAUUGCUUUGUUCUCCAAUUCAAAGUUGCGUCGCUUAAUCAACAAUUUGCAAAAAAAAUCCACUCAAACCAGUGCUAUGGAGAGUCUUAAACUUGCAGUGAGUUCAAAGAUUUUACACCGUGUCAGUGGAGGCCUCACUGUAACUUUGAAGUGAUGAACAGGAUCCGAAAGCACUGUUCCAUUGUUUUUCAAUUGUGCGUAUUGUUGUGCAUGUUCUGAUGUUUAUUUUAUGGAUGUUUAUCUCAUAUAGUUUCUUUUCUAAUAAUCAGCAUACUUUAUCUGCUGUACUGAAAGCGUCUGAAUAAAAAACCCA